UACGUAGGGUGCAAGCGUUGUCCGGAAUUAUUGGGCGUAAAGCGCUCGUAGGCGGUUCGUCGCGUCGGCUGUGAAAACCCGGAGCUCAACUCCGGGCCUGCAGUCGAUACGGGCGGACUCGAGUUCGGCAGGGGAGACUGGAAUUCCUGGUGUAGCGGUGAAAUGCGCAGAUAUCAGGAGGAACACCAAUUGCGAAGGCAGCUCGCUGGGACGUUACUGACGCUGAGACGCGAAAGCGUGGGGAGCAAACAGG
rnacentral:rRNA from 1 species